rnacentral:rRNA from 1 species
UGAACGCUGGCGGCAUGCCUUACACAUGCAAGUCGAACGGCAGCACGGGUGCUUGCACCUGGUGGCGAGUGGCGAACGGGUGAGUAAUACAUCGGAAUGUACCUUGUAGUGGGGGAUAGCUCGGCGAAAGCCGGAUUAAUACCGCAUACGACCUGAGGGUGAAAGUGGGGACCGCAAGGCCUCAUGCUAUAGGAGCGGCCGAUGUCUGAUUAGCUAGUUGGUGGGGUAAAGGCCCACCAAGGCGACGAUCAGUAGCUGGUCUGAGAGGACGAUCAGCCACACUGGGACUGAGACACGGCCCAGACUCCUACGGGAGGCAGCAGUGGGGAAUUUUGGACAAUGGGCGAAAGCCUGAUCCAGCAAUGCCGCGUGUGUGAAGA